GGCCCCAUCGUCUAGUGGUUAGGACAUCUGGUUUUCAUCCAGAAAACAGGGGUUCGAUUCCCCUUGGGGCUACCA
rnacentral:tRNA from 1 species